rnacentral:rRNA from 1 species
GCUAGCUUACCCAUCCAAUAAUUAAACAAUAUAAAUAAACAAAGUAAGCCUAACACCAAAAACUAAACCAUUCUUUUACCUGAGUAUGGGAGACAGAAAAGGUCCCACCAAAGCAAUAGAAAUAGUACCGCAAGGGAAAGCUGAAAGAGAAAUGAAACAACCCAUAUAAGCACAAAAAAGCAAAGAUUAAAUCUUGUACCUUUUGCAUCAUGAUUUAGCCAGUACACCCAAGCAAAGAGACCUUUAGUUUGAAACCCCGAAACCAGGUGAGCUACCCCGAGACAGCCUAUUAAGGGCCAACCCGUCUCUGUGGCAAAAGAGUGGGAAGAGCUCCGGGUAGAAGUGACAGACCUACCGAACCUGGUGAUAGCUGGUUGCCUAAGAGAUGAAUAUAAGUUCAGCCUCGUACUCCCCAAAUCAAAGCACAAACAAGACAUUGAGAGAAACACACGAGAGUUAGUUAAAGGGGGUACAGCCCCUUUAACAAAGGACACAACCUUUCCAGGAGGAUAAAGAUCAUAAUACACAAAACACACCGUUCUAGUGGGCCUAAAAGCAGCCACCUAAACAGAAAGCGUUAAAGCUCAGACAGAAAAAAGUUUAUUAUCCUGACAAAAAAUCUUACUCCCCUAACUACUAUUAGGCCAACCCAUGCCUACAUGGAAGAGAUUAUGCUAAAAUGAGUAACAAGAAGGCCCGCCCUUCUCCAAGCACAAGUGUAAGCCAAACCGGACCAACCAUUGGCAACUAACGAACUCAACCCCAGAGAGCAAUGUGAACUACAAAAAGACCAAGAAAAACCCACAACUUAACUAUCGUUACCCCCACACUGGAGUGCCAUUUAAAGGAAAGACUAAAAGAAAGGGAAGGAACUCGGCAAACACAAGCCUCGCCUGUUUACCAAAAACAUCGCCUCCUGCAACACAGCCAAGUAUAGGAGGUCCAGCCUGCCCAGUGACCACAAGUUUAACGGCCGCGGUAUCCUGACCGUGCAAAGGUAGCGCAAUCACUUGUCUUUUAAAUAGAGACCUGUAUGAAUGGCCAAACGAGGGCUUAACUGUCUCCCCUUUCAAGUCAGUGAAAUUGAUCUACCCGUGCAGAAGC